UGGAACAAUGAAAAGAAUGUGUCAUGAACCAAAGUUAUGAUUAAUCUAAUUCUGUGCACCUGAUAUCCUUA
rnacentral:snoRNA from 1 species